GAUUUAACGUAGCAUACCAUGCAGUCGAGCGGGGAGAUGGUAGCUUGCUACACUUGUCCUAGCGGCGGACGGGUGAGUAAUGCUUAGGAAUCUGCCUAUUAGUGGGGGACAACAUUCCGAAAGGAAUGCUAAUACCGCAUACGCCCUACGGGGGAAAGCAGGGGAUCUUCGGACCUUGCGCUAAUAGAUGAGCCUAAGUCAGAUUAGCUAGUUGGUGGGGUAAAGGCCUACCAAGGCGACGAUCUGUAGCGGGUCUGAGAGGAUGAUCCGCCACACUGGGACUGAGACACGGCCCAGACUCCUACGGGAGGCAGCAGUGGGGAAUAUUGGACAAUGGGCGCAAGCCUGAUCCAGCCAUGCCGCGUGUGUGAAGAAGGCCUUUUGGUUGUAAAGCACUUUAAGCGAGGAGGAGGCUACUUGGAUUAAUACUCUAGGAUAGUGGACGUUACUCGCAGAAUAAGCACCGGCUAACUCUGUGCCAGCAGCCGCGGUAAUACAGAGGGUGCGAGCGUUAAUCGGAUUUACUGGGCGUAAAGCGUGCGUAGGCGGCUUUUUAAGUCGGAUGUGAAAUCCCUGAGCUUAACUUAGGAAUUGCAUUCGAUACUGGGAAGCUAGAGUAUGGGAGAGGAUGGUAGAAUUCCAGGUGUAGCGGUGAAAUGCGUAGAGAUCUGGAGGAAUACCGAUGGCGAAGGCAGCCAUCUGGCCUAAUACUGACGCUGAGGUACGAAAGCAUGGGGAGCAAACAGGAUUAGAUACCCUGGUAGUCCAUGCCGUAAACGAUGUCUACUAGCCGUUGGGGCCUUUGAGGCUUUAGUGGCGCAGCUAACGCGAUAAGUAGACCGCCUGGGGAGUACGGUCGCAAGACUAAAACUCAAAUGAAUUGACGGGGGCCCGCACAAGCGGUGGAGCAUGUGGUUUAAUUCGAUGCAACGCGAAGAACCUUACCUGGUCUUGACAUAGUAAGAACUUUCCAGAGAUGGAUUGAUGCCUUCGGGAAC
rnacentral:rRNA from 2 species